CCUACGGGAGGCAGCAGUGGGGAAUAUUGCACAAUGGGCGAAAGCCUGAUGCAGCAACGCCGCGUGAAGGAAGAAGGGUUUCGGCUCGUAAACUUCUAUCAACAGGGACGAAAGAAAUGACGGUACCUGAAUAAGAAGCCCCGGCUAACUACGUGCCAGCAGCCGCGGGAAUACGUAGGGGCCAAGCGUUAUACGGAAUUACUGGGUGUAAAGGGUGAGUAGGCGGGAUGGUAAGCCAGAUGUGAAAGCCUUGGGCUUAACCCGAGGAUUGCAUUUGGAACUAUCAAGCUAGAGUACAGGAGAGGAAAGCGGAAUUCCUAGUGUAGCGGUGAAAUGCGUAGAUAAUAGGAAGAACACCAGUGGCGAAGGCGGCUUUCUGGACUAAAACUGACGCUGAGGCACGAAAGCGUGGGGAGCGAACAGGAUUAGAUACCCCAGUAGUC
rnacentral:rRNA from 1 species